rnacentral:rRNA from 1 species
UUUGAUCCUGGCUCAGGAUUAACGCUGGCGGCAUGCCUAAUACAUGCAAGUCGAACGGAAGUUUAAGCAAUUAAACUUUAGUGGCGAACGGGUGAGUAACGCGUAAGCAAUCUGCCCCUAAGACGAGGAUAACAGUUGGAAACGACUGCUAAGACUGGAUAGGAGAUAAGAAGGCAUCUUUUUAUUUUUAAAAGACCUAGCAAUAGGUAUGCUUAGGGAAGAGCUUGCGUCACAUUAGUUAGUUGGUGGGGUAAUGGCCUACCAAGACGAUGAUGUGUAGCCGGGCUGAGAGGUCGAACGGCCACAUUGGGACUGAGACACGGCCCAAACUCCUACGGGAGGCAGCAGUAAGGAAUUUUCGGCAAUGGAGGAAACUCUGACCGAGCAAUGCCGCGUGAACGAUGAAGUAUUUCGGUACGUAAAGUUCUUUUAUUAGGGAAGAAAAGAUGGUGGAAAAACCAUUAUGACGGUACCUAAUGAAUAAGCCCCGGCUAACUAUGUGCCAGCAGCCGCGGUAAUACAUAGGGGGCAAGCGUUAUCCGGAAUUAUUGGGCGUAAAGGGUGCGUAGGCGGUUAAAUAAGUUUAUGGUCUAAGUGCAACGCUCAACGUUGUGAUGCUAUAAAAACUGUUUAGCUAGAGUUGGAUAGAGGCAAGUGGAAUUCCGUGUGUAGUGGUAAAAUGCGUAAAUAUACGGAGGAACACCAGAAGCGAAAGCGGCUUGCUGGGUCUUAACUGACGCUGAGGCACGAAAGCGUGGGGAGCAAACAGGAUUAGAUACCCUGGUAGUCCACGCCCUAAACGAUGAGUACUAAACGUUGGAUAAAACCAGUGUUGAAGUUAACACAUUAAGUACUCCGCCUGAGUAGUACGUACGCAAGUAUGAAACUUAAAGGAAUUGACGGGACUCCGCACAAGCGGGUGGAUCAUGUUGUUUAAUUCGAAAGUACCCGAAAACCUCACCAGGUCUUGACAUGCUUUUGCAAGCUGUAGAAAUACAGUGGAGGUUAUCAGAAGCACACGUGGUGCAUGGGUUGUCGUCAGCUCGUGUCGUGAGAUGUGGGGUUAAGUCCCGCCACGAGCGCAACCCUUGGUUUUUAAUUGCCAUCAAUAAGUUGGGGACUUUAGCAAGACUGCCAUUGAAUAAUUGGAGGAAGGGUGGUGAAGAAACUGUCAAUCAUAUGACCUGGGCUACAAACGUGAUACAAUGGCUGUUACAAAGGGUAGCUAAAGCGUAAGCUUCUGGCGAAUCUCAAAAAAACAGUCUCAGUUCGGAUUGAAGUCUGCAACUCGACUUCAUGAAGUUGGAAUCGCUAGUAAUCGCGAAUUUCACGG